UUUACUGCUAUAUCUUUUCCU
rnacentral:miRNA from 1 species